GUCGAGCGAACGGACGAGAAGCUUGCUUCUCUGAUGUUAGCGGCGGAGGGUGAGUAACACGGGGAUAACCUACCUAUAAGACUGGGAUAACUUCGGGAAACCGGAGCUAAUACCGGAUGAUAUUUUGAACCGCAUGGUUCAAAAGUGAAAGACGGUCUUGCUGUCACUUAUAGAUGGAUCCGCGCUGCAUUAGCUAGUUGGUAAGGUAACGGCUUACCAAGGCAACGAUGCAUAGCCGACCUGAGAGGGUGAUCGGCCACACUGAAACUGAGACACGGUCCAGACUCCUACGGGAGGCAGCAGUAGGGAAUCUUCCGCAAUGGGCGAAAGCCUGACGGAGCAACGCCGCGUGAGUGAUGAAGGUCUUCGGAUCGUAAAACUCUGUUAUUAGGGAAGAACAUAUGUGUAAGUAACUGUGCACAUCUUGACGGUACCUAAUCAGAAAGCCACGGCUAACUACGUGCCAGCAGCCGCGGUAAUACGUAGGUGGCAAGCGUUAUCCGGAAUUAUUGGGCGUAAAGCGCGCGUAGGC
rnacentral:rRNA from 1 species